CCUACGGGAGGCAGCAGUGAGGAAUAUUGGUCAAUGGACGAGAGUCUGAACCAGCCAAGUAGCGUGAAGGAUGACUGCCCUAUGGGUUGUAAACUUCUUUUAUAUGGGAAUAAAAUGUUCCACGUGUGGGAUUUUGUAUGUACCAUAUGAAUAAGGAUCGGCUAACUCCGUGCCAGCAGCCGCGGUAAUACGGGGGAUCCGAGCGUUAUCCGGAUUUAUUGGGUUUAAAGGGAGCGUAGGUGGAUUGUUAAGUCAGUUGUGAAAGUUUGCGGCCCAACCGUAAAAUUGCAGUUGAAACUGGCAGUCUUGAGUACAGUAGAGGUGGGCGGAAUUCGUGGUGUAGCGGUGAAAUGCUUAGAUAUCACGAAGAACUCCGAUUGCGAAGGCAGUUCACUGGACUGCAACUGACACUGAGGCUCGAAAGUGUGGGUAUCAAACAGGAUUAGAUACCCUUGUAGUC
rnacentral:rRNA from 1 species